ACGUAGGGGGCGAGCGUUAUUCGGAAUUACUGGGUGUAAAGGGUAUGUAGGCGGCCCUUCAAGUCGCGUGUCAAAGUCCAGGGCUCAACCCUGGGUGUGCGCGGGAUACUGACGAGCUUGAGGCGUGUAGAGGUGAGCGGAAUUCCCGGUGUAGUGGUAAAAUUCGUAGAUGUCUGGAGGAAAACCAGUGGCGAAGGCGGCUCACUAGACCGUUUCUGACGCUACGGUACGAAAGCGUUGGGAGCAAACAG
rnacentral:rRNA from 1 species